UCCAGCCUGGCCUUGAAUACCUCCAGGGAUGGGGCAUCCACAACCUCCUUGGGCAACCUGUUCCAGUGGAACAUUUGUUUUAUAGAAGUCAUAAAAUCGUAACUCUGUAGCUCAUUUAAGUUGACCCGCAGCCUGGUGAGAUGGUUGGAAUGACUCUGGGUUCAGACAGACCUGAAUCAAACCAUCAAAGAGGAAGAUGCCAGGCACGUGGUCUUUCUGCUGAAAUGGAUUUUAUCUAUGGAAUCAAAAGAAAUAACUAACUCAGUUUUUAACAUCCUUUGCACAUAGAUAUCUGAAAACCGCUUAUGCUUAAAGGGGUAUUGUACUGAAAAAGGGGAUUACUUCUGCAUUUAUAAUAUGGUUUUAUAACAUCAUAGUUACACAAUGUAUUGCAUUUUAGUGCUACAGUACUUACUUGCAUUUUCUUAGUUGCUGGCACAAAUUCCUGCAGCUGCUGAACAAUAAAUGCUUGGAUUUUUUUUUCCUUUCAUCUUUUCUCCCCCCCCCCCCCCCCCAUUAUAGUGCAAUAAGCAAGUCUCUUAACUCACCAAAAUUCCAGUUGAAAUAAUGGGACACUUGAGAACAAUAAUUAGCAAUUGAAGCUGCUUAUAUUUCAUUCUCUGAUUAAGUUUCUAGUUUUUGUGGAAAUUCAUUCAGAAAUGUUGUCCAGCUUUUUCAGUUGAUUUUAUCCCUACUUCCAAAGGAAAUAAAGAUAAGACUGAUGAAAAGAAAGAGCUUUAAAAUCUGCCUAAAAUUUCUUUGCUUUUCUUACUUUGCCUCAGUUCAUGAGCAGCUAGGAGGGGAGGACUGGCAUUUGACAUGUUCAGCUUCUGGCUGCUUUUGCCAGUAUGAAUAGCUGUGUGUGCUAACGGACAUCAAUGUGCACAGUGCAUUAAAUUGCCAAGUGACAAAUACAACAUUAUGAUACUCAGUGUCUUGCUGUUUUGUUUUGCUCUCCUCAGAUGACUUUGUUUGUGAGUAGUUGUACAGUUUAUACCGUAGCCUUUUUCAUUGCGGUGGUGGCCACAGAGUCUGAACUUUUACCAGGUAAUCGGUUUCUUCUUCUUAAUAGAUUUUGUACGCUCUUGGAUAAGUCAGUGGCCCACUUGAGGUUUGUCUUGCACCAACAAACUCAAAGGGAUUGGAGGACAUUGUGACUUUGGCAGACAAACCUGCAGCUGCAGAGAUUGGUGUGCUUCAUAGGGAAUUCUGUGCUGAAAGAAAUACCCCACAUUUUUUUGAACUAGUAGUGAUAUUUGGAAAUGAAAAGUUACUGAUUUUUUGUGCUGGUUUUUUUUUUUAACGUAGCAUCUCAAAGCUCUCAGACAUAGGUUGUGACUCCUUGUGCUUGUGUAAUGUAUGCAAAAUGAGAAAACAUGCUUUCCACAGUGUUUACAGUUUGUGUGUGUAACACAAGUUAGUGCGGUACAGCCUGCAUGCAUGUGGUUAGAAGUUUUCUCUCUCCGCUCAUAAGCAUACUUUUUUCAGACAUUUCUUGGGAUUGAAAUGUAGGUGGAUGAAUGAAUUUGUCUUAGAGAGGGUCAUUGGCUCCUAGGCACUGUGUUUCCUGACUGCCUGUGUUGGUAAGUGUUACACCAGCUGGUCUUAACAAUCUUCUUUACACUCCAUCCUUUUUCUAGUAAAUCUCUGGAAGAGGAUGGUUCUUUCCAGGCUGAUAGAUCAGAUUGCAUAGCCAGAACACUUCAUCUUGGUAGACUUGUUACCCCACAAGUGCAUACCUGUGUCAUUCUGAAGACUGCUUUGCUCAAAUUAUGUUGUGUGAGCAUAAUGGAUUUGCUGAUAAGGUUGUAGAGAGACUGUGGCACAGUCAUUGCUAAAUAAAUUCAUAUGCUCUGCCUGAAUGAAAAGUGUAAUUGCUGUUGAAGAAUCCUGAGGCUUUAUGGUGGCAGUCUGUUCAGUGAAUGGUUCCUCAGUAGUUUAAAAAUAAACAGAACAGUUCUUGUCUCAUCUUCAGAAUGUAUUAGCUUGAGAAAAAAUUACGUGUACUCCUAGAAUAUUUAACAUAAAAGAUACAGAAUCAUUUCAAUAUGUUUAUCCAUUGGAAAAGAGUGGGAAGCUGUGUGUCUGGAACCACUGAGAGGAAGAAUAAUGGCACAUGAAGAAACUGAACCUUCAUCACUGUCAGAUUUCAGCUUAAUAAAUGGUAUGUGUCAGUGUUGACAUUUCUUUAUAUGUAAGGACAGCUACAACAAAAAACAUUUUUAGCCAGGCUUAUUCAUUCUGCUGCCCUCUUCAACAGUACAGAAAGAUGGAUGUGGGAAGCGGUCCAGGACUGCUGGUUGAUUUCCAAGGUUCACCUUCUACAAGCUCAAGAGUGGUCCAUGCCCACAUACAGGAUGGCAGAAAGAGAUGGCAAGAAGCCCACAUGGAUGAAAAAGUUCCUGGUGAAACUCAAAAAGGAACUACAGAAGAGGUAGAAAUAAGCUUUUGCUUUAAGCGUAGUUCUUGAAGAUGCAGAAGAUAAAGCUGAAGUACCAGUGCUGCAGGUAAUAAAUUUUAAUUGCCAAAGCAGAAACAUUUUACAGACGUUAUAAAUUCAUCUAUAAAUGUGCAAAAAGUUUACAUCCAUGACAUGGAUUAGUUUGAUCAGUGACUUUAGUAAUAUGAACUGCCACUUGACAUCCUUCUGGUGUGUCAGACAUAAGAUAUCUUUUGUGGGACACACGUUGUACAUGUUACACUAGUCUUCAAGCAUUGCUACCAUCUUACCUUAUCUCAUGGACUCUCGGUACUACUGGAAUAAACUUACCACCUUUGAUUCUUCCUUACGUUGCGUUUUCUGAUUUAUGUUGACAUUUUUGUUAAGAUAAUUGGGGGGGGAGUUGUGUGUUGAUGUGGAACAGAAUAAUAAUUGAGAAAAGUUAUUUUGUUUUUCCAAGAUUAGCAGAGGAGUCCACUAGAAAAUUAUAGGUAAAAAAAAAAAA